AUACGGAGGGCGCGAACGUUGCUCGGAAUCAUUGGGCGUAAAGCGCACGUAGGCGGCCUGAUAAGUCGGAUGUGAAAGCCCUCGGCUCAACCGAGGAAGUGCAUUCGAAACCGUCAGGCGUGAGUAUGGGAGAGGGUUGCGGAAUUCCCGGUGUAGAGGUGAAAUUCGUAGAUAUCGGGAGGAACACCAGUGGCGAAGGCGGCAGCCUGGACCAAUACUGACGCUGAGGUGCGAAAGCGUGGGGAGCAAACAGGAUUAGAAACCCUAGUAGUCC
rnacentral:rRNA from 1 species